AGAGUUUGAUCCUGGCUCAGGAUGAACGCUAGCUACAGGCUUAACACAUGCAAGUCGAGGGGCAGCAUCAUCAAAGCUUGCUUUGAUGGAUGGCGACCGGCGCACGGGUGAGUAACACGUAUCCAACCUGCCGAUGACUCGGGGAUAGCCUUUCGAAAGAAAGAUUAAUACCCGAUGGCAUAGUUUUUCCGCAUGGUAGAACUAUUAAAGAAUUUCGGUCAUCGAUGGGGAUGCGUUCCAUUAGGUUGUUGGCGGGGUAACGGCCCACCAAGCCUUCGAUGGAUAGGGGUUCUGAGAGGAAGGUCCCCCACAUUGGAACUGAGACACGGUCCAAACUCCUACGGGAGGCAGCAGUGAGGAAUAUUGGUCAAUGGACGAGAGUCUGAACCAGCCAAGUAGCGUGAAGGAUGACUGCCCUAUGGGUUGUAAACUUCUUUUAUACGGGAAUAAAGUGAGGCACGCGUGCCUUUUUGUAUGUACCGUAUGAAUAAGGAUCGGCUAACUCCGUGCCAGCAGCCGCGGUAAUACGGAGGAUCCGAGCGUUAUCCGGAUUUAUUGGGUUUAAAGGGAGCGUAGGCGGGUUGUUAAGUCAGUUGUGAAAGUUUGCGGCUCAACCGUAAAAUUGCAGUUGAUACUGGCGACCUUGAGUGCAACAGAGGUAGGCGGAAUUCGUGGUGUAGCGGUGAAAUGCUUAGAUAUCACGAAGAACUCCGAUUGCGAAGGCAGCUUACUGGAUUGUAACUGACGCUGAUGCUCGAAAGUGUGGGUAUCAAACAGGAUUAGAUACCCUGGUAGUCCACACAGUAAACGAUGAAUACUCGCUGUUGGCGAUAUACAGUCAGCGGCCAAGCGAAAGCAUUAAGUAUUCCACCUGGGGAGUACGCCGGCAACGGUGAAACUCAAAGGAAUUGACGGGGGCCCGCACAAGCGGAGGAACAUGUGGUU
rnacentral:rRNA from 1 species